GAUGAACGCUGGCGGCGUGCCUAAUACAUGCAAGUCGAGCGAACAGACGAGGCGCUUGCUCCUCUGACGUGAGCCGCAGACGUGUGAGUAACACGUGUAUACUCUCCCUAUAAGACUGGGAUCACUUCGGGAAACCGGCGCUAAUACCGGAUAAUAUAUUGAACCGCAUGGUUCAAUAGUGAGAGACGGUUGUGCUGUCACUUAUAGAUGCAUCUGGGCCGCAUUGGCGAGUUGGUAGGGUAACGGCUUACCAGGGCAACGAUGCGUAGCCGACGGGAUAGGGGGAUCGCCGACACUGGAACUGAGACACGGUCAUGGGUACUACGGGAGGGCGCAGUAGGCAAUGGUCCGCAAAGGGCGAAAGCCUGACGGAGCGACGCGGAGUGUGAUAUGAAGGUCUCCGGAUCGUAAAACCCGGUUUUGAGGUAUGAACCGAUUUGUAAGUAGCUAUAGACUGCUUGACGGUAACGGAUCAAAAAGCCCCGGCUAACUACGUG
rnacentral:rRNA from 1 species